GUGCCAGCCGCCGCGGUAAUACGUAGGGUGCGAGCGUUGUCCGGAAUUACUGGGCGUAAAGGGCUCGUAGGUGGUUUGUCGCGUCGUCUGUGAAAUUCUGGGGCUUAACUCCGGGCGUGCAGGCGAUACGGGCAUAACUUGAGUGCUGUAGGGGUAACUGGAAUUCCUGGUGUAGCGGUGAAAUGCGCAGAUAUCAGGAGAAACACCGAUGGCGAAGGCAGGUUACUGGGCAGUUACUGACGCUGAGGAGCGAAAGCAUGGGUAGCGAACAGGAUUAGAUACCCUGGUAGUCCAUGCCGUAAACGGUGGGCGCUAGGUGUGAGGGUCUUUCUACGACUUUCGUGCCGUAGCUAACGCAUUAAGCGCCCCGCCUGGGGAGUACGGCCGCAAGGCUAAAACUCAAAGGAAUUGACGG
rnacentral:rRNA from 1 species